GAUAAGAUGGCCGAAAUUUUAAGCAAUAGACUGUAAAUCUAUCCAUGAGUUUUCACAACUCUCUUAUUA
rnacentral:tRNA from 1 species